rnacentral:rRNA from 1 species
CCUACGGGAGGCAGCAGUGAGGAAUAUUGGUCAAUGGACGAGAGUCUGAACCAGCCAAGUAGCGUGAAGGAUGACUGCCCUAUGGGUUGUAAACUUCUUUUAUAUGGGAAUAAAAUGUUCCACGUGUGGGAUUUUGUAUGUACCAUAUGAAUAAGGAUCGGCUAACUCCGUGCCAGCAGCCGCGGUAAUACGGAGGAUCCGAGCGUUAUCCGGAUUUAUUGGGUUUAAAGGGAGCGUAGGUGGAUUGUUAAGUCAGUCGUGAAAUUUUGUGGCUCAACCAUAGAAUUGCAGUUGAAACUGGCAUUCUUGAGUACACGAGAGGUAGGCGGAAUUCGUGGUGUAGCGGUGAAAUGCUUAGAUAUCACGAAGAACUCCGAUUGCAAAGGCAGCUCACUGGACUGCAACUGACACUGAGGCUCGAAAGUGUGGGUAUCAAACAGGAUUAGAUACCCCUGUAGUC